UCCGGCGCUGGAGCUUUGCGCACCGCGCCACGGAAAGGAGGAAGAGGAGAGGAAGAGGAGGGGGAGCGCGGAGGGGGGUGAACAUCAUCCAGAGGCGGCCAGUGAGUCGUCUGGAUGCGGCACACACAUGCGCCCUUUCCCCCCUUUUCGUUGACGGCGCUCGACAUCCAAUCCAUUUGGAUAGUCAAGAUGGCAGUCAAUGAGUGCUAUCGACGAUGAUAAACAUUUGGUCAUUUGCACCAAUCCAUUUGCAGAGGGAUUGAAAGUAUCACCUUCAGCUGCAGUUAAUAAGGUAACUUCCUGUCAAAAUUUGGUCACUUACUGUUCCUAUUGGGUUACGGCUGUUCAGUAUAUGAUGCCCAGGUGGCGCCUCACGACAUAGAUAUCACGUCUUGUGGCGUCCCAGUGGUUAGUUCCACAGGGCUCACCACAGAGGUUCAGCACCUUGGACAGCGACCUCACCGGGGAUAUCACAAAAAGUACAAGAAUCCUCAGCAUC